rnacentral:rRNA from 1 species
AUAUCAAUAAGCGGAGGAAAAGAAACCAACAGGGAUUGCCCUAGUAACGGCGAGUGAAGCGGCAACAGCUCAAAUUUGAAAUCUGGCCCCAGGCCCGAGUUGUAAUUUGCAGAGGAUGCUUUUGGCAAAGCGCUUACCGAGUCCCCUGGAACGGGGCGCCACAGAGGGUGAGAGCCCCGUAUGGUAGGACGCCGAGCCUCUGUAAAGCUCCUUCGACGAGUCGAGUAGUUUGGGAAUGCUGCUCUAAAUGGGAGGUAAAUUUCUUCUAAAGCUAAAUACCGGCCAGAGACCGAUAGCGCACAAGUAGAGUGAUCGAAAGAUGAAAAGCACUUUGAAAAGAGGGUUAAAUAGCACGUGAAAUUGUUGAAAGGGAAGCGCUCGUGACCAGACUUGCGCCGGGCGGAUCAUCCAGCGUUCUCGCUGGUGCACUCCGCCCGGCUCAGGCCAGCAUCGGUUUUUGCCGGGGGACAAAAGCUUCGGGAACGUGGCUCCCUUCGGGGAGUGUUAUAGCCCGUUGCUUAAUACCCCGGCGGGGACCGAGGACCGCGCUUCGGCAAGGAUGCUGGCGUAAUGGUCAUCAGCGACCCGUCUUGAAACACGGACCGAGGAGUCAAGCAUUAGUGCGAGUGUUUGGGUGUAAAACCCGCACGCGUAAUGAAAGUGAACGUAGGUGAGAGCUUCGGCGCAUCAUCGACCGAUCCUGAUGUUUUCGGAUGGAUUUGAGUAGGAGCAUUAACGCUUGGACCCGAAAGAUGGUGAACUAUACUUGAAUAGGGUGAAGCCAGAGGAAACUCUGGUGGAGGCUCGCAGCGGUUCUGACGUGCAAAUCGAUCGUCAAAUUUGAG